GACGAACGCUGGCGGCGUGCUUAACACAUGCAAGUCGAACGGUGAAGGGGUCUGCUUUUGUGGGCCCUGGAUGAGUGGCGACCGGGUGAGUAACACGUGAGUAACCUGCCCCCUUCUUCUGGAUAACCGCAUGAAAGUGUGGCUAAUACGGGAUAUUCUGGGUCUGUCGCAUGAUGGGUCUGGGAAAGAUUGCGCCUUUGGGUGUUUUUGGUGGGGGAUGGGCUCGCGGCCUAUCAGCUUGUUGGUGGGGUGAUGGCCUACCAAGGCGGUGACGGGUAGCCGGCCUGAGAGGGUGGACGGUCACACUGGGACUGAGACACGGCCCAGACUCCUACGGGAGGCAGCAGUGGGGAAUAUUGCACAAUGGGCGCAAGCCUGAUGCAGCGACGCCGCGUGAGGGAUGGAGGCCUUCGGGUUGUAAACCUCUUUCGCCAGUGAAGCAGGCCUGCUCCUUGUGGGUGGGUUGACGGUAGCUGGAUAAGAAGCGCCGGCUAACUACGUG
rnacentral:rRNA from 1 species